rnacentral:lncRNA from 1 species
UCUUCUAGUUAUAUCUGUGAAAGUUACUGAUAUACUUGUAUUCAUUUUGCUAAUUGGAGUGUUUGCUUUUUAUCUUCCUUUUUAUCAGCUUCUCUAUAUGGAAGCCCAUCAUGCUCACAGGUAACCCCAUUCUUCUGCGACUUCCUCCUGCAGCCACUUGCUCUAGCUGCCUGACCUCACUGGCAAUUCUUGAAUGCCUUCCUUGCUAGGCCUCCCCAGAUUUGCCUGUGCCACUCAUCUGUGGGAUGAGUUCAUAGUUCUUUCUACUAUGCAACUUAUACAUUGGACAAUUUCCCACUUGUACUUUAUGCCUCAGUUCAGGGUCACCUUGUCUAUGAAAAUUUUCAGGAUACUUUGAGCCCAGGAUGAUUUGCUGCAUCCUCCUGUUUCCAUAGUACCUAGAGCAUCUCUUUGUUAUGGUUCUCACCAUGUAUUUACUAAAUACAUGUUUAAAUGCCUUUAUUUUCUAGACCAGGAACUUCUUAAUGGUAAGGAGUAUGUCCCUAUUUCUAUCCCCAGAAUCUAGUCCAAUACUUGGCCCAAUUCAUAUUUGUUAAACAAAUGAAUAAAACUAAAAAAUAGAGUUACUAUAAAGAAAAAGGACUUGUUCUGUAAAUCAUAAACAACAUCAUUCUUACUUCUGAUAUGCUUUCCCCCCCCCCCGUUUUAAUAAGACUGGCUUACUUUUCCAACUGCAUUGUGAGUUUUAUGUGGCAGGGACCAUAUUUUGUAGUAGGUUGGUGCCACUUCAUCUUUAAUAGAGUGUUGUGUGUGUAACAAAAUCCCAGAAAAUACUGUUUGAUUGAUGAGAUACAUACAUUCUGACCACUUGUAUUUUACCCAUACAAAAUGUUUUUUAUUAAAAUAAG